UGCUCUGCGAUUUCUUCGCUUCUUGAUUGCUCGUUUGAGGGCCUAUUUAUUCUUCUGGCCCCAAAAAGUGAGAGGUACGAAAAACCAAUUAUUUACUUCCUUUUCUUCCCAAAAUUCUGCUGUGUUUGAGAAUCUUUGGGCUGUGUGUCUAGAAUCGGGUUGUGGGUUUUUCUCGGAUACAGUCUGUGUGAGUAUCUGUUCUUUGGGAUUUGGGUUUCUGAGUGAGGGUUCGGGUGAGUACGGGUCUUGACGGAAGGUGGCUGUUCGUGGUGGUGUGGCUCGAUUCCUGGAGUGCUGGAGGCACCUGGAC
rnacentral:lncRNA from 1 species